rnacentral:rRNA from 1 species
GGUGUCAAUGACGCUUAGGACCCACCUGUUCCCAUCCCGAACACAGAAGUUAAGCUAAGCGGUGCCGAAGAUACUUGGUGGGUGACCGCCUGGAAAAAUAGGUCGAUGCCAG